rnacentral:rRNA from 1 species
GACGAACGCUGGCGGCGUGCCUAAUACAUGCAAGUAGAACGCUGAAGGAGGAGCUUGCUCUUCUGGAUGAGUUGCGAACGGGUGAGUAACGCGUAGGUAACCUGCCUGGUAGCGGGGGAUAACUAUUGGAAACGAUAGCUAAUACCGCAUAAGAGUAGAUGUUGCAUGACAUUUACUUAAAAGGUGCAAUUUCAUCACUACCAGAUGGACCUGCGUUGUAUUAGCUAGUUGGUGGGGUAACGGCUUACCAAGGCGACGAUCCAUAGCCGACCUGAGAGGGUGAUCGGCCAAAAUGGGAAUGAGACACGGCCCAGACUCCUACGGGAGGCAGCAGUAGGGAAUCUUCGGCAAUGGACGGAAGUCUGACCGAGCAAAGCCGCGUGAGUGAAGAAGGGUUUCGGAUCGUAAAGCUCUGUUGUAAGAGAAGAACGAGUGUGAGAGUGGAAAGUUCACACUGUGACGGUAUCUUACCAGAAAGGGACGGCUAACUACGUG